rnacentral:rRNA from 1 species
UUACGAAAACUUGGCAAUGCGGGAAACCGCGACCAGGGAACUCCAAGUGCUAAUACUUAGUAUUAGCUGUUCUUCUGUCUAAAAAACAGGAGAAGUAAGGGCUGGGUAAGACGGGUGCCAGCCGCCGCGGUAAUACCCGCAGCCCGAGUGGUGAUCAUUAUUAUUGAGCCUAAAGCGUCCGUAGCCGGGCGCGUAAAUCCUUGGGUAAAUCGGCCAGCUUAACUGUCCGAAUUCCGAGGAGACUGCGUGCCUAGGGACCGGGAGAGGCUAGAGGUACUCCAGGGGUAAGGGCUAAAUCUUGUAAUCCUUGGGGGACCACCAGUGGCGAAGGCGUCUAGCUAGAACGGAUCCGACGGUAAGGGACGAAACCCUGGGGCGCAAACGGG